rnacentral:RNase_MRP_RNA from 2 species
GCGUCGCACGAAGAAUCGCUGUCGCAGCACACACACAGGGAGCUUGCAAUCUUGCAGCGCUCUCCUUCUUCAAGCUGUGGGGAAAGUCCCCGGAGAUGCAGAGCCAUUCUUCGGAAACCGCGCACUCGACCUUUACUCGGAAAGCGACCUUCUCUAACCCGCUGGUUCAUUUCUUGUCGCGCGGGGCCUCCCAAUUCACCAUUUAAUUCGGAUGGCGGGAUGGCCAGCUCUGCCGUCCCAAGCUUGGUUAUUCCAAACGCGAAGAUACGAGCGGACUGAGCUUGGGCACCCCGUUGCUCGUAGGCAUAGUUAUGCGAUUGCUGGCGAGUAUUUUGCUUGCCGGUAACACAAUGGGGCUCACUCUUGUGCGACG